AUAUUACAGAAUUGUUUGAUUUGUUGGAUCUGUUCUUACCAGUGUAAUAUCUGAUAUGUCCUCUAUAUGUGGACAACAUAUUAAAUGGAUUUCUAGCAUUGGGUGCUGUAAAAGGGGCUUGCUCCAAUCACUACACACAUUGACCAGGUAUUGCAGCACCACUUUUGGUUGGUGGCAGGAGC